rnacentral:rRNA from 1 species
CCUACGGGAGGCAGCAGUGAGGAAUAUUGGUCAAUGGGCGGGAGCCUGAACCAGCCAAGUCGCGUGAGGGAAGACGGUCCUAUGGAUUGUAAACCUCUUUAGGCGGGGAGCAAUGCCGGGCACGUGUGCCCGGAGGGAGAGUACCCGCAGAAUAAGCAUCGGCUAACUCCGUGCCAGCAGCCGCGGUAAUACGGAGGAUGCGAGCGUUCUCCGGAUUUAUUGGGUUUAAAGGGUGCGUAGGCGGAUUUUUAAGUCAGCGGUAAAAUGUCCGGGCUCAACCCGGGCCGGCCGUUGAUACUGGGGAGCUUGAGUGGGCGAGAAGUAUGCGGAAUGCGUGGUGUAGCGGUGAAAUGCAUAGAUAUCACGCAGAACUCCGAUUGCGAAGGCAGCAUACCGGCGCCCGACUGACGCUGAGGCACGAAAGCGUGGGGAUCGAACAGGAUUAGAUACCCCGGUAGUC